UAUAUGUAGGAGAAAGUUUCCACUUUAAAACUCAUAUAUUGAAGACUAUACAUAACAGAACAUGUAAAACUUGCAAAGUACUCCCUCAUCCGGUCAUUGUUGGUCAUUUAUCCGGUGGUAAUAUGCUACCCUAGAUAAACUCCCUAUUUUUUUUAAUCAGAGUAUCUAAUCACAACUGGACAAACCAAUGGGAGUACACCUUGGUAAACAAAAAGCCAUCAUUACAUUUCACAAUACCUGGAGCACGGGAAAGCUAUCAGCCUUUACAACAAAGCUUCCUAGAGAAGCUUUCUUCACUUUUAUAUUCUCUGGAAAAAAAAACAAAAAACAGAGCACCCCCCCCCCAAAAAAAAAAAACAUUCGAAGCUUUUCUAUUUGAAGAAGAUCAAGCAAUUUAAUGUCAUGGACUGUAGGACCAUUUGAGAGCCCAACCGCAAAAGCACGAAGGCUGUGCUCUUCAGAAGGUAUGGAAGCACUGGCUGACUCACACCCCCUUUGGAGCCAGCAUGAUCUCCUUGUCACCCACCUCUUUCCCAAGCUUGACUACGGAGGAAGACUUGCUGUGUAGCGCACCUGCGUCAAGUGGAAGCUGUCGUGGCGUCUCCGCAACUUUGCACUAGGGCUUCUGUCAACGAGUGGAUCCUCCACGACCUUGUCUACAACGAUGGUCGUGACUUUCACGCCUGGAUCAACAAGGACAUGACUGUCUAUUUUGAUAGUUUCCCCCUGUUGUUCAAGGAAGAGUAGGGUGUUUGUAGGUGGGGGGGGGGGAUAAGUGAGUAGCUAGUUGUUUUUGGAGUUCCACUACUCUUUUUGUAAAGUUUUUAAAGUUGUUUUAAUGAUAUGGGUUUUUAGAUUAUUGUCA